rnacentral:rRNA from 1 species
CCUACGGGGGGCAGCAGUGGGGGAUAUUGCACAAUGGGGGGAACCCUGAUGCAGCGACGCCGCGUGGGUGAAGGAGCGUUUCGGCGCGUAAAGCCCUAUCGGCAGGGAAGAAGAUGACGGUACCUGACCAAGAAUCCCCGGCUAAAUACGUGCCAGCAGCCGCGGCAAUACGUAGGGGGCAAGCGUUAUCCGGCUUUAAUGGUGGGAAGGGGGGCGCAGUCGGCAAUUCAAGCCGGGAGGGAAAGCCCGGGGCCCAACCCCGGGACUGCUCUUAGAACUGGAUGGCUGGAGUACAGGAGGGGCAGGCGGAAUUCCUAGUGUAGCGGUGAAAUGCGUAGAUAUUAGGAGGAACACCGGUGGCGAAGGCGGCCUGCUGGACUGUGACUGACGUUGAGGCACGAAGGCGUGGGGAGCAAACAGGAUUAGAUACCCUUGUAGUC